rnacentral:misc_RNA from 1 species
GGAAGUAAAAGUCUAACAAGGUUUCCGUAGGUGAACCUGCGGAAGGAUCAUUAUUGUAUAACCGAGGUGCGAGGGCUGUCGCUGACCCGAAAGGUCGUGCACGCCCGAGUGCCCUCACACACAUCCAUCUCACCCCUAUGUGCACCACCGCGUGGGUCCCCCUUUGGCUUGUUCGGAGGGGGGCUUACGUUUUCACACAGACUUUGUAUGCAGUGUAGAAUGUAUUUUUUGUUUUUGCGAUCACGCAAUCAAUACAACUUUCAACAACGGAUCUCUUGGCUCUC